rnacentral:RNase_P_RNA from 1 species
UGAGGGAGACAGGCAAUCGCGGAGCGCAAGCUCCGAGGAAAGUCCGAACUCCAUAGAGCGGAAUGCUGGCUAACGGCCAGUGGGGGUGACCUCAAGGAAAGUGCCACAGAAACAUACCGCCCGGAAUAGUGACAGACGCUGAAAGCUAUGCCGGGUAAGGGCGAAAUGGUGAGGUAAGAGCUCACCAGCAGGCGGGAGACCGUCUGGCUGGGUAAACCCCAUCCGGAGCAAGACCAGAUAGAAGGGAUGGUACAUCUGCAAUGCAGGUGUGCUUGCAGGCUGCUCGUCUGUGAACCUUCGGGUUGGUCGCACGAGGUGUCGGGCAACUGGCACCCUAGAUAGAUGAUUGCCGCCUGUGUGGUUGAGAGGCCACGCAGGUACAGAAUUCGGCUUACGGCUCCCUCAACUC